rnacentral:lncRNA from 1 species
CACAACAUGACACCCAUGCAGAAAGACGUCCACUCUGGCUACAAGACAAUGCACCACCGGCACCUCCAGCCCCACAAGCAGCGGCAGCAGCAGAAGCAGCAGCAAUCUGUCCAAAGCUGAUUUGUCACACUUGGACUUCAUUGAAAUAACUAUUUUAUGUCUGGGUCCCUGAAACCUGAAGCUUUAUAAUGCAGAUUUUUGCAAACUUAAGAAAAGUAUAAACACCCUACUAUCCACAAAGUAAAACAUCCUUUCAAGUUAGAUAUUUCCAACAUAAACUAUUUUCGUUAUGACAUUAGCUAAAUACAUAAAAUAUAAAAGAAGACCCAAAUUCCUCAUGUUAGCUCAUAUCCCUCACCACAAAGUCCAACAAAUUACAAAAUAAAUGCAAACAAUAUUAUUAAACUAGCAAAAAGGAAAAUACUAAGUUAAGAAAAUCAAUGAUCAUGCUUUACCAAUAUUGAAUCACCUUUCAAAGCUGGAAUAUAGUAUUUCUAUUUUGUAACAUCUUAUAAUUCUUUACUCUCACCUCUUUCAUCCUUUAAAAUACUGUGAAAUCUUUCAACAGAAAGGCUUAAUGUCAUUUGGGUUUCACUUGGGGUAAACAAAUCACACUUUUUUCCUGUGUUCUUUUUUAAACUCUGACAAUAUACUAUACUAUCUAGUGCGAGGUCUCUCC